CCUACGGGCGGUUGCAGUGGGGGAUAUUGCACAAUGGAGGAAACUCUGAUGCAGCGACGCCGCGUGAGGGAAGACGGUCUUCGGAUUGUAAACCUCUGUCUUUGGGGAAGAAAAUGACGGUACUCAAAGAGGAAGCUCCGGCAAACUACGUGCCAGCAGCAGCGGCAAUACGUAGGGGGCGAGCGUUGUCCGGAUGUACUGGGGGGAAAGGGGGCGUAGGAGGGCGGGAAGGUUGAAUGUUAAACCUACCGGCUUAACUGGUAGCUGCGUUCGAAACUGUUUGUCUUGAGUGAAGUAGAGGCAGGCGGAAUUCCUAGUGUAGCGGUGAAAUGCGUAGAUAUUAGGAAGAACACCAGUGGCGAAGGCGGCCUGCUGGGCUUUAACUGACGCUGAGGCUCGAAAGCGUGGGGAGCGAACAGGAUUAGAUACCCCUGUAGUC
rnacentral:rRNA from 1 species